rnacentral:rRNA from 1 species
GAUCAUGGCUCAGAUUGAACGCUGGCGGCAUGCCUUACACAUGCAAGUCGAACGGUAACAGGUCUUCGGACGCUGACGAGUGGCGAACGGGUGAGUAAUACAUCGGAACGUGCCCAGUCGUGGGGGAUAACUACUCGAAAGAGUAGCUAAUACCGCAUACGAUCUGAGGAUGAAAGCGGGGACCUUCGGGCCUCGCGCGAUUGGAGCGGCCGAUGGCAGAUUAGGUAGUUGGUGGGAUAAACG